rnacentral:tRNA from 1 species
GGCUCAAUUGGUAGAGCGCUUGUGUGGCACACAUGAAACCCUGGGUUCAAUCCCCAG